rnacentral:rRNA from 1 species
CACGUAGGGCGCAAGCGUUGUCCGGAAUUAUUGGGCGUAAAGGGCGCGUAGGCGGCCACGCACGUCCGUUGUGAAAUCGCCCGGCUCAACUGGGCGGGGUCAGCGGAUACGGUGUGGCUCGAGCAAGCUAGGGGGCAAUGGAAUUCCCGGUGUAGUGGUGGAAUGCGUAGAUAUCGGGAGGAACACCAGUGGCGAAGGCGGUUGCCUGGAGCUUUGCUGACGCUGAGGCGCGAAAGCGUGGGGAGCGAUCCGG